rnacentral:lncRNA from 1 species
AUGCACUGGAGAGCCAGCCUUUCAGCAGGGCAGUGUGGAGCAAGGCCACCCAGCCAGCCCAGCCUGACGGCAGUCAGCCAAUGCUUCUUACAGGACUUAUUAGAAUUGCGUCUGGAUCAAAUUUCAGCUGACCUUUGAGGAGAACAAGUUUUGGCCCAUUUUAAGCAUCAAGCUCAUUGAGUCUUCAAAACUACUUUGAAAGGGGAUAUGCCAAUAUGAUGAUGUUUUAAAAGCACAAAUCAGAGCACAUACUAACAAUAAAGUUUUGAAAGAAAAAAUAAAAUGUUAAACU